rnacentral:rRNA from 1 species
GGCGGCGUGCCUAACACAUGCAAGUCGUACGAGAAAGUCGGCUUCGGCUGAUGAGUAAAGUGGCGCACGGGUGAGUAACGCGUGGAUAAUCUGCCCUUGAGUGUGGAAUAACGUACCGAAAGGUGCGCUAAUACCGCAUAAUGCCUGGCAACACAAGUUGUCCGGCCAAAGAAGGCCUCUGUUUACAAGCUUUUGCUCAAGGAUGAGUCCGCGUACCAUUAGCUAGUUGGUGGGGUAACGGCCUACCAAGGCUACGAUGGUUAGCUGGUCUGAGAGGAUGAUCAGCCACACUGGAACUGAGACACGGUCCAGACUCCGUACGGGAGGCAGCAGUGAGGAAUAUUGCGCAAUGGGGGCAACCCUGACGCAGCAACGCCGCGUGAGUGAGGAAGGUUUUCGGACUGUAAAGCUCUGUCGAGCGGGAAGAAAUGUACCAUGGCUAAUAUCCAUGAUAUUUGACGGUACCGCUAGAGGAAGCACCGGCUAAACUCCGUGCC